rnacentral:rRNA from 1 species
CAUUACCGAGAUUAGGGUCCUUCGGGGCCCGAUCCUCCCACCCUUUGUGUAUAUACCUCUGUUGCUUCGGCGGGUCCCGUGGUUCCGGUGCUGGCUCGCCACGUACCAGCCUCCGGCCUGCCAGAGGCCUUCCCCAUUCUGAAUUAUCAGUGCCGUCUGAGUCAACAUGCAAAUAAACUAAAACUUUCAACAACGGAUCUCUUGGUUCUGGCAUCGAUGAAGAACGCAGCGAAAUGCGAUAAGUAAUGUGAAUUGCAGAAUUCAGUGAAUCAUCGAAUCUUUGAACGCACAUUGCGCCCCCUGGUAUUCCGGGGGGCAUGCCUGUUCGAGCGUCAUUACACCUCUCAAGCUUGGCUUGGUAUUGGGUCCUCGUUCCCCGUGGACGGGCCCGAAAACUAGUGGCGGUGCGGCCGGUACUCAAGCGUAGUAAUUUUAUCCCGCUUUGGAGUCGCCGGGCGGGCCCGCCAGACAA